GAUGAACGCUGGCGGCGUGCCUAAUACAUGCCAGUCGAGCGAACGGACGAGAAGCUUGCUUUUCUGAUGUUAGCGGCGGACGGGUGAGUAACACGUGGAUAACCUACCUAUAAGACUGGGAUAACUUCGGGAAACCGGAGCUAAUACCGGAUAAUAUUUUGAACCGCAUGGUUCAAAAGUGAAAGACGGUCUUGCUGUCACUUAUAGAUGGAUCCGCGCUGCAUUAGCUAGUUGGUAAGGUAACGGCUUACCAAGGCAACGAUGCAUAGCCGACCUGAGAGGGUGAUCGGCCACACUGGAAAUGAGACACGGUCCAGAAUCCUAAGGGAGGCAGCAGUAGGGAAUCUUCCGCAAUGGGCGAAAGCCUGACGGAGCAACGCCGCGUGAGUGAUGAAGGUCUUCGGAUCGUAAAACUCUGUUAUUAGGGAAGAACAUAUGUGUAAGUAACUGUGCACAUCUUGACGGUACCUAAUCAGAAAGCCACGGCUAACUACGUG
rnacentral:rRNA from 1 species